GUAUAGGAAUGAGGGGCCAUCUGGGUCCACCUCCCACCCGUGUUUAUUUUACCUUGUUGCUUCGGCGGGCCCGCCUUAACUGGCCGCCGGGGGGCUUACGCCCCCGGGCCCGCGCCCGCCGAAGACACCCUCGAACUCUGUCUGAAGAUUGAAGUCUGAGUGAAAAUAUAAAUUAUUUAAAACUUUCAACAACGGAUCUCUUGGUUCCGGCAUCGAUGAAGAACGCAGCGAAAUGCGAUACGUAAUGUGAAUUGCAAAUUCAGUGAAUCAUCGAGUCUUUGAACGCACAUUGCGCCCCCUGGUAUUCCGGGGGGCAUGCCUGUCCGAGCGUCAUUGCUGCCCUCAAGCCCGGCUUGUGUGUUGGGCCCCGUCCCCCGAUCUCCGGGGGACGGGCCCGAAAGGCAGCGGCGGCACCGCGUCCGGUCCUCGAGCGUAUGGGGCUUUGUCACCCGCUCUGUAGGCCCGGCCGGCGCUUGCCGAUCAACCCAAAUUUUUAUCCAGGUUGACCUCGGAUCAGGUAGGGAUACCCGCUGAACUUAAGCAUAUCAAUAAGCGGAGGAAUAUGCCGGAUUUAUUAUUUUUUUUUAAAUUUUAUAAUUUGUUUUAAUAAAUCAUUAUUAAAUUUUU
rnacentral:misc_RNA from 1 species